rnacentral:rRNA from 1 species
AUGAACGCUGGCGGCGUGCCUAAUACAUGCAAGUCGAGCGAACAGACGAGGAGCUUGCUCCUCUGACGUUAGCGGCGGACGGGUGAGUAACACGUGGAUAACCUACCUAUAAGACUGGGAUAACUUCGGGAAACCGGAGCUAAUACCGGAUAAUAUAUUGAACCGCAUGGUUCAAUAGUGAAAUACGGUUUUGCUGUCACUUAUAGAUGGAUCCGCGCCGCAUUAGCUAGUUGGUAAGGUAACGGCUUACCAAGGCAACGAUGCGUAGCCGACCUGAUAGGGUGAUCGGCCACACUGGAACUGAGACACGGUCAAGACUCCUACGGGAGGCAGCAGUAGGGAAUCUUCCGCAAUGGGCGAAAGCUUGGCGGAACAACGCCGCGUGAGUGAUGAAGGUCUUCGGAUCGUAAAACUCUGUUAUUAGGGAAGAACAAAUGUGUAAGUAACUAUGCACGUCUUGACGGUACCUAAUCAGAAAGCCACGGCUAACUACGUG